rnacentral:tRNA from 1 species
CCGGGUGUGGCGAAAUUGGCAGACGCGCUAGACUUAGGAUCUAGUGGGUGACCAUGGGGGUUCGAGUCCCUUCACCCGGACCA